rnacentral:rRNA from 1 species
UUAAAUUUGUUUUUUUAUUUUUUGAUAUUGCAUAUCAUUUAAAAAAAAUUUUAUUGAUAAUAAAAAAUAGAAUUAAAAGGUAGAAUUUUUUUUAUUUUUAUUGUUACAUAAUAAAAAAUAAAAAAUUUAGGGUUGAAAAGUCGACUUUUAAGAUAUCUGUUUAAUUUUAUAUAUUAGAAAUUUAUAAAUUUUAAUUUUAACAUUAUAAAUAGUAUAAAUUAAAGUUUUUUUGUUUUUAGUUUUAUAACUGUUUAUUUUUUUUUGUAUUAUUUAUUUUCUUUAUUUGUUAAUUUUUUAUCAAAUAAAUUAUUUUAAAAUUAGUAAAUUUGUUUAAAUUAAGUUUUUUUAAUUAAUUUAAUUAAAUAACUAAAGGGUUAAUCAAAUGUUUUUUAAAGACUAAGACUUUUAUAUAAAGUUAGCUUCUGCCCAGUGAUUAUUUUAAAUGGCAGUCUUAGCGUGAGGACAUUAAGGUAGCAAAAUAAUUUGUGCUUUUAUUGAGUUCCAGUAUGAAUGAAGUUAUUGGUUAAUUAUUUUUUUGUUUUAUAUAGAAUUUUUAAUUGAUAUAAAAAAUUAUUAUUAUAGUUAUACAAAGAUAAGUCUUCGAAAAUUCUUUUUUGUGUUUAUAAAUAUUUUAUAAUUACAAAAAUUUUCUAGGGCAGAAUUUUAUAUAAUUUUUAAUUCUAUUAAUAAUUUUAAGAAUUACUUCGGAGUUAACAGAAAAUCAUACCUAAUCUAGUUCUUAUAGUAAGGUAAGUUUUACAUCGAUGUUGUAUUUAAGUUUUUUAAGAGAGGAGAAUGCUUAAUUUUUAAGACUGUUCUUCUUAUAGUUAAUUUAACGUGAUAUUAGUUUAAUUCAUUGUGAGAUAGAAUUGUUUAUCUUGAUAAUUAUUUUUUUUUAGUUUUAAUAGUACGAAAGGAAAAUUAAAAAAAGUUUAAAACUUUAUAAGAAUUUUCUUA